GACGAACCGUGCGAACGUUAUUCGGAAUCACUGGGCUUAAAGCGCGUGUAGGCGGGACGGCACGUCGGUCGCUGAAAGCCCCCGGCUCAACCGGGGAACGGGCGCCGAUACGACCGGCCUGGAGGGACGUAGGGGGACCUGGAACUUCCGGUGGAGCGGUGAAAUGCGUUGAGAUCGGAAGGAACGCCCGUGGCGAAAGCGAGGUCCUGGACGUUUUCUGACGCUGAGACGCGAAAGCCAGGGGAGCGAAUGGG
rnacentral:rRNA from 1 species